GCCUAAGGAAAGAUGUGCUCAUUCCAGUGUAUUGAUUAACACUAGCUCAGGACCACACCUACUAGUGGUGGGUGGGAUUGGUGUUUCUGAUCUUUGGAUAUUUGAUAUUAAAAAUAAAUCAUGGAAGGAACUGUUUAAUAUACCAAAGAAUGUCACUGAUAGAUAUUUUCAUUCUCUCUCAUUGUGGAAUGUAACUCCAACCACUAACUGGGUAAUUGUGUUUGGAGGAGAGAUUUCAUGCACUGAUACAGCAGUUAUUGAACUCAUCCUUAAAGAAACUCAAAUCUCGGGCCUUUUCACAAAGAAACAUAUCAAUGAUUGGUCUACUAGUUUAAUACCUCUGGACCAGUAUCAAGAGAAACUACAAGAAAGGAGAAGAGAAUGGGAAGCA